UACGAAGGGGGGCCAGCGUUGUUCGGAAUUACUGGGCGUAAAGCGCGCGUAGGCGGUUUUGCAAGCCAGAGGUGAAAUGCCUGAGCUCAACUUAGGAAUUGCCUUUGGGACUGCGAGACUUGAGUUCGGGAGAGGAAAGCGGAAUUCCGGGUGUAGCGGUGAAAUGCGUAGAUAUCAGGAGGAACACCCGAGGCGAAGGCGGCUCUCUGGGUCGUACCUGACGCUGAGGCGCGAAAGCGUGGGGAGCGAACGGG
rnacentral:rRNA from 1 species